rnacentral:rRNA from 1 species
UACGAAGGGGGCUAGCGUUGUUCGGAUUUACUGGGCGUAAAGCGCACGCAGGCGGAUUGGUCAGUUAGGGGUGAAAUCCUGGAGCUCAACUCCAGAACUGCCUUUAAUACUGCCAGUCUCGAGUCCGGAAGAGGUAAGUGGAACUCCUAGUGUAGAGGUGGAAUUCGUAGAUAUUAGGAAGAACACCAGUGGCGAAGGCGGCUACUGGUCCGGUACUG